GCGCAAGCUGCGGGGCCGUAAAGGAACCGGCCCCCAAUCUCCGGGGCUUCAGUCCCGCCCCUCUCUCCCCCCAGUGCCCUGCAGCGCUCCCAGGGUCCGUGUCUGCCCUCCCCAAGCCCCCACUGUCAAUACAAUCCCUGUUAAAAAAAAAAAAUCUUUUUAGAGCCAGGCACGUGCCGUCGGCCUCUCCCCUGCCCGCCUGGCCCAGGAGGCGCCCACACCUGCGCCCUCACUUGCCGAGACUUUUACCUGUGCAGUCCCCGGCGGCGCCUGCAGCCGCGCAGGUGCCAUUUAAAAAUUUUGUAUGAAUUAUGUCCUCGCCCACAGCGACUCUCUGAGAUCUGGGGCAUGCCAACUCCUUACUCUGGGGGAGUAUUGGAGGGAGAAUUCUACUUUUCUGAUGGGGGAGUACCAGCCUGUUAACCACAACCAUUUGCAGCUGAAGCCAGUGCAGAGCAGGAGGGAGAUCUGCACAGAGGAGAACAGUAUAAAUGGCAUGGGGUCAUCUCAGCCCCUGGCCAGCUCCCAGCCUAAUGGGAAAACCGGACCAUUGAGCAUUCCUUGCUGUUUCCCUGUAGUCCCAGCCCAAGCCAGCAUGCUCUUUUUUUAAAAAGCAAAUCCAACCAUGUUUCUCUUCUGCUUAAAGGCAUCCGGGUUCCCAUUGUUCUUGAGAACAAGUUGAGCUUGCCUCCCCUGGCUGGCGGGUCUACACUGGCUCUGCCCCAGCUUGCCUUUCUGCCUUUGUCUGCCUCCACACCCCCUCACCUGGAACUCCUGCUACCCAAGGCUUCCUUUUAGUUCCUCAAAUGUGCCAUGCUACUCCCCACCUCAAGGGCUUUGCUCCUGCUUUUCUCUGUCUCUCUGGAAUGACCUGUCCUUCUCUUCACCUGGCUUGCGCAUACUCUUCCUUCAGGUCUCAGCUCACACAUCACUUUCCUGCAUCCUCCCGCCUCCCAUUACCCUCACUUAUAAUAGAAUUUCCUGUUGAGAGUCUGUCCGCUUCACUGGAUGGUAAACUCCCAGGGGGUAGGGACUAGGGCCGUUCCUUCAAGGAACAAAUGAAGAAGGAACAUUUGUAUAAACCACCAACUAUGAUGAACGAAUGAAACUGCCCUUUUUGGGGCCACCAGUAAGUAUUCUCCAUGGUCUCACAUUCCAAGAUGUUCUCAACUUAAUGAGGGCGAUGAUACAAAUCUCAUGAAAACAUAUGUUAUUUUGAAUGCCUUUAUUGUAAAUGUCAAAUAAGGGGAUGCUGGAGGAGGUUGGAGAAGAGGAAUAUGCAUGGAUUACAGCCAUUUAUUCAGGGUUUCAAGAUGCAAGAUGUGUUGGUUGACACAAUUUAAUGGAAAACCAUGCCACCCACGACCAUCUC
rnacentral:lncRNA from 10 species